GCGUUGCUUUUUGAGUGCUGUGGACUAAAAUGUCCCGCAAAGUUGUGGAGUCACAGCCGAUGACGUUAGAGUGAAGGCGUCCGGAGUUAACCGAGCCAACACGCCGAAAGUGACGCGCGCACCGGACUCCUGUCGAAAAGAUUCAUUCAAGUGCCAUUUUUUGAAAAACGAUGUCGAAAACGAUGUCGAAAACAGACUCGACAGCAGCGAAAGACAUGACCGAGGCGAUGGAGGAGAGAAUGCAGCGACUGCAGGGGAGAUUUCAGACCCUCUCUGGACAGCUGGAGUCCAAACAUAUCCUCUUGGUUCGCGGGGUUCCAUGUGAAUGAGAUGGGAACCCGCAUUGAGGACCUUGAGAAAAACGUGGCUGAGCUGAUGACACAAGCCGGUAUCGAGGAGCAGGCGGGUUCAAAGUGACGGCAGAGCCACGGUUCAUCUGUCAGACGAGCUCCUUCCAUGAAACCUCACUGCACUUUCAUUAAACAUCCUGACAUGGGACUUUUGAGCUGACAUUAGUUUACCUCUACAGUUGAUAUCACUUUAAAGUUCUAGCCAAAUGUCAGUCUUUUCCGUGGUGCUACAAUACUGCUAAGUCCCAUCACUAAUCACAGGCUACGGAGCCUCGGAUCGCCACGUUAGCAGGUCACUUAUUUCGCAGUAACAUUUGUCAGUGUUUUUCAAAUUAUGUACAAUCAGAUUACAGCCGGCAGUUUGAUGGCACAGUCGGACCACUGGAAUAAUUUACUAUGUGAUGUGGCCAAAAGCAAGAAGAGACAGGACUGUGAGUGGGGCCGUCGAGGCAGGUAUGUGGAAAACAACCGUGUCAAAUUACACAGCGUUUUAUCAAACUUUUAUCAACCUCUGCCAUGUCCUUAAACCGAUUACAGCCAAAGAUCCUUACCCCUCAUCUGCUGCUUGGUUGUUUUGCUUUACAGUUGUAAGACAAGAAUGCAAGCAAACAAUAGGUGCAACUAAAAUUUGAAUGGAUUUACUUGCUUACAUAGAAAUAUUUUCAGAGCCUAUUCUAAUGUGUUGAUGCUGGUAUUGUUAAUACAUUGUCGUCUCCUCUUCUCUUACUGCCACCAACUGUCUACGUAGGUGCAUGUAUGCACAUCAUGCGUUUCCUCUUUCGUGUACCACUAAAGCAAGAGAUGCAGGACAUUGCUCCUUUACUGGUCAAACAGCCAAGCUACUUCAGAUGUUGCUCACCAUCACUCUAAAGCCAAUGUAACACUUAAAUCAUUUGCACCACAGCAUCUGGAAUUUAUGAAUCAUAGUCCAUAAUUUCUCCAAAGCCAGUUUGAAAAUGGCCUUGAAACUCAUACCAUGGUUGUGGGUUGACACUAAUAGAAUUUUUUACUUUAGAGGACUUUAGCUCAUCUUGAUUUCUGAGAGAAUAGUUUGACAUCUAUGCAAUUUAUCUUUUCCUCCUGUUUAACGCGCUUUGUUGCAGUCCGAUUAGCCAUCAGAUCAACCAAAUGUUAGUAUAUACUGUACACCAAUAUUAACAUUGUUUUUGCAAAAUAAAGUUUGUUUUUUUUACAUUUGCCA